UUAAAAACGUUGAAGAGGAAAAGUAGACUUAAGGACCGGUAUCUACAGAGAGUCACUGGUUGCUGAAAAGUGGUGUUACCCCUUAUUUCGAACUCCCCUCUGAGUGCCAUUCCGAAAGAAAUUCUAGUAGGAUUGGUCGAGUGAUACCGUCACUCGUUAUCAAAAAGAGCGAUUUAAUCGUUCCUGAGGUGGUGAUUUGUAAAAAUGACCAUGAACAAGGGUGGUACCGUGAAAAGAAACCUUUUCACCCCUUUU
rnacentral:ncRNA from 1 species